UACGUAGGGCGCAAGCGUUGUCCGGAAUUAUUAGGCGUAAAGAGCUCGUAGGCGGCCAGUUGCGUCUGCUGUGAAAUCCCGGGGCUCAACCCCGGGCGUGCAGUGGAUACGGGCUGGCUAGAGGCAGGCAGGGGAGAACGGAAUUCCUGGUGUAGCGGUGAAAUGCGCAGAUAUCAGGAGGAACACCGGUGGCGAAGGCGGGUCUCUGGGCCGAUACUGACGCUGAGGAGCGAAAGCGUGGGGAGCGAACAGG
rnacentral:rRNA from 1 species